UAUGUAGGGUGCAAACGUUGCUCGGAAUCAUUGGGCGUAAGCGCACGUAGGCGGCCUCAAAAGUCGGAUGUGAAAUCCCGUGGCUCAACCAUGGACGUGCAUUCGAAACUGCGAGGCUUGAGUAUGGAAGAGGGUCGCGGAAUUCCCGGUGGUAGAGGUGAAAUUCGUAGAUAUCGGGAGGAACACCUGCGGCGAAGGCGGGUGCUGGGCUGAUACUGACGCUGAGGCGCGAAAGCGUGGGGAGCAAACAGG
rnacentral:rRNA from 1 species